rnacentral:rRNA from 1 species
GAUGAACGCUGGCGGCGUGCCUAAUACAUGCAAGUCGAGCGAACGGACGAGAAGCUUGCUUCUCUGAUGUUAGCGGCGGACGGGUGAGUAACACGUGGAUAACCUACCUAUAAGACUGGGAUAACUUCGGGAAACCGGAGCUAAUACCGGAUAAUAUUUUGAACCGCAUGGUUCAAAAGUGAAAGACGGUCUUGCUGUCACUUAUAGAUGGAUCCGCGCUGCAUUAGCUAGUUGGUAAGGUAACGGCUUACCAAGGCAACGAUGCAUAGCCGACCUGAGAGGGUGAUCGGCCACACUUGAACUGGGACACGGGCCAGACUCCUACGGGAGGCAGCAGUAGGGAAUCUUCCGCAAUGGGCGGAAGCCUGACGGAGCAAAGCCGGGUGAGGGAUGAAGGGCUUCGGAUCGGUAAACUCUGGUAUUAGGGAAGAACAUAUGUGUAAGUAACUGUGCACAUCUUGACGGUACCUAAUCAGAAAGCCACGGCUAACUACGUG